UACGUAGGGUGCAAGCGUUGUCCGGAAUUAUUGGGCGUAAAGAGCUCGUAGGCGGUUUGUCGCGUCUGCUGUGAAAACCCGAGGCUCAACCUCGGGCCUGCAGUGGGUACGGGCAGACUAGAGUGCGGUAGGGGAGAUUGGAAUUCCUGGUGUAGCGGUGGGAUGCGCAGAUAUCAGGAGGAACACCAAUGGCGAAGGCAGAUCUCUGGGCCGUAACUGACGCUGAGGAGCGAAAGCAUGGGGAGCGAACAGG
rnacentral:rRNA from 1 species